ACAGUAUCUAAAAAGGUAAAUCAAAUUGAAAAAUAUUAAAGCAAUAUAAAGUAGAACAAAUGUGGUUGUAUGUUGAAUAAUCAAGUGAUCAGUUUAUGACUUGCAUAGCCUCUUCAAAUAGAUGCAAGCUACAGCCUUAGUAGUAGGUUCAUUUUAUGGAUAAUAUUUGUAUGAAUGUUCCAUUUAUCAGUAUAUGAAGCACAAAAGCUGAUGAAAAUUCAUAAAAAUAUAUGACAAUCCAAUCCUCUGACAUUUUUUAGAUAAAAAAAAUAAUGCUAAUAAUACAAGAAUGACAAAUAGAAGCAAAUUGGUAUAUGACUCUUGAAGUUAAUAAAUGAUUCUAUAAAAUCGUAAUUUGUAAAAUAUUGUUCUUUUGUAUUAUUAUGUGUCUUUAUAAUCCAAGAAUCUAUAGAAUUUGUAAUUUUGAAAUUCUUGUCCUUUGUUGUUAUUACCAUUUGAUGUGUCUUUUUAAUUUCUAUUGCAAGCAUUAAAAUGAAAUCAAUUGUAAUGCUUAAUGAUGGAACCACUCUUUGAUGUCUUUUAUAGCCUCUAAAGUCUAAAAUCUCAUGCCUAUGAGUUCAGGAACCAACAAGUCAGAUGCUAAAUUAUUGUCAUCCAGGGCAUAUAUCGUAUCUCUAUACCGGAUGAAACUCAAAUCUUGCUUUAACCAAACUCCAAGAUUUAUAAAAUUUCCAUAUAAGCUAAAUUUGUACGCUAUUCUACCAAAAAAAAACAAGUUCUUUUUGACAUUCUUUUGAAUAUUUGUAGGGCAUUCCCAAAAAUCAUCACAGUUUGUACAUAUCGUUAUAAUAAAAUUGAUUCGGAUUUGCAUCAUAAGAAACUUUUAUCUUAAUCACAUACAAACUUAGGAUUAUAGGAAAAUAUAAAUAGUUUAACUUACCUGCCACGGAAAAGGUUCGGGAGAAAAGUAAACGCAAGGAGAAAUUGAAGUUUUCCACACCUUAAACAGAGAUAUCUGCAACGAAUUAAUCAAUUUAUAUAUCAAUUAUAAUCACGUGUAAAAAAAGAGUGUAAACCCAAAUACAUCCACGCUAAAAUCAAAAUCAAUUCAAGAACUUCGUGUUGAAAAUAUCUCUUCUUCUUCGACCUUCAUGUUCCAUCGAUUUGAUGUUCUUGGAUAGAUUUACAUGUAAUCAUUUUUACCGAAGAGGUAGCAAAGCGAGAGAAGUAGGGUAAAGAGGGAAACGGUGGCGUGCCUGAUUAUAUGUGGGAAUGGAAAGACUUUGGUGUGUUAAUGUUGUUUUUUUAUAGAACGGGAGACGUUAAUUAUGGCCUCUUUCUUGGUUUUGUCAUAAUUAUUGCCAAUUUAACACAACUUUCUGGAAUGAAUUGAAGAGACACAUAUUUUUUGAAGAAUCCAUCAUCGUCGGUUAAGACGUAGGCCAACAGUAACCCCUUUUUAAGGAAUCGAAGAUGAUGAAGGAUAUGUGAUGAAAUCGAUUGCUAUAUUGUUGAUCAAUCGAUACGGCACAUUGGAAAACGAGGCGGUAGGAAUCGACUUUCAUGUCUACAGCAUCGUUCUAAAGUUAGGUUACGUGUCAUCCCGGGAACCACAUAAAUGUGUUUUUGGAGGCAUG
rnacentral:lncRNA from 1 species